UCUGAUAGCCUGGCUUAGGUAUUGAUUCUUCCAUGGUGGAUGAAUCAACAGUUUUCUGCCUUCAAGAAGAGUGUAUCUGAUCUCCUGACCGCCAUGGAGACCUACCAGAAGCACUUGAAGGAUCAACUACACAGAGUUGAGAAAAAACACCGAAGUUGUGAGCCUGUGAGGUCAAUUGACAACAACUGGGGUCUUCAAGUGAUAGAAGUUGAAGAAAUGUGGCAGUGACACCUGUGAGUACUGCACCCUGAAUCCUCUGCGGGUCCCUAAGGAGGUAUUUGAUGACCUGCAUUUCUUUCCUGACCCUGUACCGGAUGGGAAUGAUGAUAAUCAUUACAAAAAAUUCCAGAAUGUAAAUGGCACUGAAACACAGGAAAACCACAAGCCUGAACUAACAGAACACGACAAACACAAAUCGUGGUUCGUUGCAGCAAAGGCUCGUGGCUAUGUGAAGUGCUAUGAAUGUGGCAAAAGACGUGUUGUGUAUGUGGCCAAAAAGCUUUCAAACCUGAGGAACAACAACACUUAAGGAGGGUACAAGAAGAGAAAAUGUUUGUCUGUGGAAAUGUUCCUCUUCCCAGGUAGCAUCAUGCAGGAUGUUAUGAUAGUAAAAGAGGGACAAAACUGCCAGAGUCCAAUCGAAACAACCUACUAUACAGAUAUCAAGAUGGACGACAUAUGUUUCUUCUGCGGAAAAAUUGACAACUUGGCGGAUGGUGAGGUAAUCCAAGAGCUGCAGCGGAAGUUUGGGACAGUGCGCCUUAUCUGCAACCCGUGUUGGCAAAGUGGCAAGGAACCAAUUACCAGGAAUAAGAAAGUGAAAAGAAACUAGUGUCUUUUAUAACAUGACUUCUCAUAACAUCACCUGUUAAUUUAUAGUUAAAGGCAGCACCAAAAGAAAAUAUGAAAAUUUAUUGAAACGUGUAAUUAUUGCUUAUGCGCUGUA